AUGGGUGAUUUCAAAGUAGAAAUAGAUGUUCAGUCUUACUUGACGAUUGUAGACGAAAGAAGAGUGUACACAAGGGGCAGAACAUGGAAUUUUAUGGCCGGUCGGGGCUUGUCCAUGGCGCGGAUAAAGGAGGUUGUGGAGGAGAGGUGCAAAUGGUCUGCUGAUCAGAGAAUGACCAUUUGGUAUGGAUCCAGAGGUAACGCCGUCCCAUUGAUCUCUAAAUCAGAGAUAGCUCAAUUGUUUGAUAUAUGUCCAGACACAAAAAUAGUAAGGUUUGGUGUGACCAUUGAGAGCAAACAACAACAAAAUGAACCUACUCUUGUCAUGACCGAGGAGAUGGAUGAUCAGCCGGUUCACGCUCCAUUCUUUGCUUGGCUGAAGCAAGCCUAUGAAGGGGAGUACGAGGAUGAUGAGCUCGUGGGAUGCAAUGAGGAGAACACCUAUUUGCAUGAAGAGAAUGCUGAGUCAAAGGAGAAUCCCAAACCACAGAAAAAUGCCGAGCCAAAGGCUGCAAGAGUUCCAAUGGGAACACUGGAUGUUGACAACUCUUAUGAUCCAUAA
rnacentral:rRNA from 1 species